GCUUGCUCAAGCCCCUCUCACUCUGUGGAGUAUACUUUCACUUCAAUACACCUAUGCUUUCAUGUUCCAUUGCUUUGUUUUGUUCAAUCUUUGUUCACCAUGCCAAGAACCUGGACAACUUGUAGUGAAGACCUUCCACACCAGUAACAUAUUUUGGUGAGCCAGUCGGGAGCACGAAUGGUUAGAAAGAUGAACUUGGAACCUCAGACGAGAAUAUGAGAAACAUAAACAGAGACAUAUGACAACCUAAAAAAUGGAGUACAAUACCAAUAAGAAUAACGAUUAUCUUACCAAUAUAAGCUUCAGAAUCACCAAUGUACAUUUCGAUGCAAUGA
rnacentral:lncRNA from 10 species